GACGACUUAAAGUUUUAAGGCGAUAGACUCGAAAUCUAUUGGGGUAACCCGCGUGAGUUCAAGUCUCACAGCUGUCG
rfam:Phytophthora sojae unplaced genomic scaffold PHYSOscaffold_3, whole genome shotgun sequence.